rnacentral:rRNA from 1 species
UGCCAGCCGCCGCGGUAAUACGGAGGGGGCUAGCGUUGUUCGGAAUUACCGGGCGUAAAGCGCGUGUAGGCGGUUCGUUAAGUCUGAUGUGAAAGCCCGGGGCUCAACCCCGGAUGGUCACUUGAAACAGCAAGACUUGAGUACUGGAGAGGAAAGCGGAAUUCCUGGUGUAGAGGUGAAAUUCGUAGAUAUCAGGAGGAACACCGAUGGCGAAGGCAGCUUUCUGGACAGAUACUGACGCUGAGGCGCGAAGGCGUGGGUAGCGAACGGGAUUAGAUA